rnacentral:rRNA from 1 species
UACGGAGGGUGCAAGCGUUAUCCGGAUUCACUGGGUUUAAAGGGUGCGUAGGUGGGCUGGUAAGUCAGUGGUGAAAUCCCCGAGCUUAACUUGGGAACUGCCAUUGAUACUAUCAGUCUUGAAUACCGUGGAGGUCAGCGGAAUAUGUCAUGUAGCGGUGAAAUGCUUAGAUAUGACAUAGAACCCCAAUUGCGAAGGCAGCUGGCUACACGAAUAUUGACACUGAGGCACGAAAGCGUGGGGAUCAAACAGG